CUGCUCCACCUUCUGUAAUGGAUACUGCACGAUUCUUCCAUCCACUGGCAAGUCGCGACAACGGAUGCCGCUCCACUCCCUGCGGCAGACUCCAUGUGGCGCGCUGCAGUGAGGGCCACGGGUCUACUCCACUACUCCUCGCAAUAAAUUUCUCUUGACGGUGGGCGGCCCACUACGAGACGGUUAUGAACGUCGCUAUCAGUCUGUUGAGCCCUCCGCCUAUAAAAAGGGGGAUCCCAGAUACGUUAUUCCAUAAGCUCUAGGUUUUUACCUAAAAACUCUGCUAAAUUCUCCGUUCGAGCACUCCAU
rnacentral:lncRNA from 1 species